rnacentral:rRNA from 1 species
GAGUUUGAUCAUGGCUCAGAACGAACGUUAGCGGUGUGGAUAAGGCAUGCAAGUCGUGCGCGAAAACCUUCGGGUGAGUAAAGCGGCGAACGGGUGAGUAACACGUAAUCAACCUACCCCUCAGACCGGGAUAACUGUUGGAAACGGCAGGUAAUACCGGAUGGUCUCUGACGAUGGCAUCAUCGACAGAGUAAACGGCGGCUUCGGCUGUUGUUGAGGGAGGGGAUUGCGGACUAUUAGCUUGUUGGUGGGGUAAUGGCCUACCAAGGCGAUGAUGGUUAGCCGGUCUGAGAGGACGACCGGUCACACUGGGACUGAGACACUGCCCAGACUCCUACGGGAGGCUGCAGUCGAGAAUCUUCCGCAAUGGGCGCAAGCCUGACGGAGCGACACCGCGUGCAGGAUGAAGGCCUUCGGGUUGUAAACUGCUGUCACGCUAUAGGAACCACGUAGUAUUAAUAGUGCUGCGUCUGACUAAAGCGAGAGGAAGUACCGGCUAACUCCGUGCCAGCAGCCGCGGUAAUACGGAGGGUACAAACGUUGUUCGGAAUCACUGGGCAUAAAGCGCGCGUAGGCGGUCUACCCAGUUAGGUGUGAAAGCCCUCGGCUCAACCGAGGAAUUGCAUCUAAUACUAGUAGGCUUGAGGAUGGUAGGGGUGUGUGGAACUUCAGGUGGAGCGGUGAAAUGCGUAGAUAUCUGAAGGAACACCUGUGGCGAAAGCGGCACACUGGAUCAUUUCUGACGCUGAGGCGCGAAAGCUAGGGUAGCGAACGGGAUUAGAUACCCCGGUAGUCCUAGCCGUAAACGAUGGGCACUAGGUAAAGGGAGAACCUGUUCUCUCUUUGCCGUAGCUAAUGUGUUAAGUGCCCCGCCUGGGGAGUACGCUCGCAAGGGUAAAACUCAAAGGAAUUGACGGGGCUCACACAAGCGGUGGGAGCAUGUGGGUUUAAUUCG